rnacentral:rRNA from 1 species
GACGAAGGGAUGCAAGCGUUAUCCGGAUUCAUUGGGUUUAAAGGGAGCGUAGGUGGCCUUAUAAGUCAGUUGGUGAAAUCGUCUAGGGCUUAACAUGGAACUGCCAUUGAUAACUUAUGUUUCUUGAAUUUUCUGGAGGUAAGCGGAAUAUGUCAUGUAGCGGUGAAAUGCUUAGAUAAUGACAUAGAACACCAAUUGCGAAAGGCAGCCUUGCUACAAGGGGAAUAUUGACACUUGAGG